GGAUGCGAUCAUACCAGCACUAAAGCACCGGAUCCCAUCAGAACUCCGAAGUUAAGCGUGCUUGGGCGAGAGUAGCACUAGGAUGGGUGACCUCUUGGGAAGUCCUCGUGUUGCAUUCC
rnacentral:rRNA from 1 species